rnacentral:rRNA from 1 species
UGCGUAGGCGGGCUAAUAAGUCGGUGGUGAAAUCUCUCGGCUCAACCGGGAAACUGCCAUUGAUACUGUUAGUCUUGAGUUCGGUUGAGGUAGGCGGAAUGUGUAAUGUAGCGGUGAAAUGCUUAGAUAUUACACAGAACACCAAUUGCGUAGGCAGCUUACUAGACCGACACUGACGCUGAGGCACGAAAGCGUGGGGAGCGAACAGGAUUAGAUACCCUGGUAGUCC